UACGGAGGAUCCAAGCGUUAUCCGGAAUCAUUGGGUUUAAAGGGUCCGUAGGCGGCCCUGUAAGUCAGUGGUGAAAUCUCCCGGCUCAACCGGGAAAUUGCCAUUGAUACUGCAGGGCUUGAAUUACUGGGAAGUAACUAGAAUAUGUAGUGUAGCGGUGAAAUGCGUAGAUAUCGCUUGGAACGCCAAUGGUGAAAACAGCUCGCUGGGGGUGUGCUGACGCUGAGACACGAAAGCCAGGGGAGCGAACGGG
rnacentral:rRNA from 1 species